CCUACGGGUGGCAGCAGUGGGGAAUUUUGCACAAUGGGGGAAACCCUGACGCAGCGACGCCGCGUGAAGGAAGCAGUAUUUCGGGAUGUAAACUUCUAUCAGCAGGGCAGAAAAUGACGGUACCUGCCUAAGAAGCACCGGCUAACUACGUGCCAGCAGCCGCGGUAAUACGGAGGGGGCAAGCGUUAUCCGGAUUUAUUGGGGGUAAAGGGAGCGUAGGCGGCGAGGUAAGUAUGAUGUGAAAGCCCGGGGCUCAACUUCGGGACUGCUUUUGAUACUGGAGGGCUAGAUUGCGGGAGAGGCAAGUGGAAUUCCUGGUGUAGCGGUGAAAUGCGUAGAUAUCAGGAGGAACACCAGUGGCGAAGGCGGCUUGCUGGACUGUAAAUGACGCUGAGGAACGAAAGCGUGGGGAGCAAACAGGAUUAGAUACCCGAGUAGUC
rnacentral:rRNA from 1 species